CUCCGUUGUCAGUAAUGGCGUCUUACAAGUUGACGUUGUUGGUCGCGCUGGUGGUCAUGUUGGCUAUCGGCGUGCAGCACUCUGAGGCGUUUGUUGAUGCUUGCAAUGAAGUUUGCAGCAGGACGAAGGCUGAGUGGGACGAAUGCUGCCGAGCCCACGGCUACCCGAAGGGCGCAGUCGACUGCCGCUACCACGGCCGAAUGAACUGCUGGACAUGAGAAGACACUGAUUCUGUCAGUCAAGAUAAAUUCUAUUAACAUUAUUUGAAAAAUAUGCAGGUCAAAGCCUUUGUAAUAAAUGUUUUAUUGUUUA